rnacentral:rRNA from 1 species
AUUGAACGCUGGCGGCAUGCCUUACACAUGCAAGUCGAGCGGUAACAGGUCUUCGGAUGCUGACGAGUGGCGAACGGGUGAGUAAUACAUCGGAACGUGCCCGAUCGUGGGGGAUAACGAGGCGAAAGCUUUGCUAAUACCGCAUACGAUCUACGGAUGAAAGCAGGGGACCGCAAGGCCUUGCGCGAACGGAGCGGCCGAUGGCAGAUUAGGUAGUUGGUGGGAUAAAAGCUUACCAAGCCGACGAUCUGUAGCUGGUCUGAGAGGACGACCAGCCACACUGGGACUGAGACACGGCCCAGACUCCUACGGGAGGCAGCAGUGGGGAAUUUUGGACAAUGGGCGAAAGCCUGAUCCAGCCAUGCCGCGUGCAGGAUGAAGGCCUUCGGGUUGUAAACUGCUUUUGUACGGAACGAAAAGACUCUGGUUAAUACCUGGGGUCCAUGACGGUACCGUAAGAAUAAGCACCGGCUAACUACGUGCCAGCAGCCGCAGUAACAC